rnacentral:rRNA from 1 species
AUUGAACGCUGGCGGCAGGCCUAACACAUGCAAGUCGAGCGGAUGAAGAGAGCUUGCUCUCUGAUUUAGCGGCGGACGGGUGAGUAAUGCCUAGGAAUCUGCCUGGUAGUGGGGGAUAACGUUCCGAAAGGAACGCUAAUACCGCAUACGUCCUACGAGAGAAAGCAGGGGACCUUCGGGCCUUGCGGUUUCAGAUGAGCCUAGGUCGGAUUAGCUAGUUGGUGAGGUAAUGGCUCACCAAGGCGACGAUCCGUAACUGGUCUGAGAGGAUGAUCAGUCACACUGGAACUGAGACACGGUCCAGACUCCUACGGGAGGCAGCAGUGGGGAAUAUUGGACAAUGGGCGAAGGCCUGAUCCAGCCAUGCCGCGUGUGUGAAGAAGGUCUUCGGAUUGUAAAGCACUUUAAGUUGGGAGGAAGGGCAGUAAGUUAAUACCUUGCUGUUUUGACGUUACCGACAGAAUAAGCACCGGCUAACUUCGUGCCAGCCGCCGCCGUAAGAC